UGCCGAAACCCGGGAUCGAACCAGGGACCUUAAGAUAUUCAGUCUAACGCUCUCCUAACUGAGCUAUUUCGGC
rnacentral:tRNA from 1 species